UACGAAGGGGGCUAGCGUUGCUCGGAAUUACUGGGCGUAAAGCGCGCGCAGGCGGCCCGCGAGGUGUCACGUGAAAGCCCCCGGGCUCAACCCGGGAGGGUCGUGGCAAACCGGCGGCUUGAGGCCGGUAGAGGUGGGUGGAACUCCUGGUGGAGUGGUGAAAUGCGUAGAGAUCAGGAAGAACACCCGUGGCGAAGGCGGCCCACUGGGCCGGGUACUGACGCUCAGGCG
rnacentral:rRNA from 1 species